UAGAGAGGUCCUUGGUGGGAGGUGAACGAAAAUCCUAAGUGUUCUAAGUGUGGAGACUGACUUGGUCUAGCAAGGAGGAGAGGAAUUGCUCUCUUUGAAGAAGAGAGAUUUAAGUUAGAAUUUUCUUUGAAAUUGAAAGUGAAAACAAGCAAAGGUGGUGGUCUAGAGGUAUCAAGAGUGAAGAAUUUCUUGCAAGGAGAAGAGAAACUAUUUCAGAUGAAUUAGCAGAUGGUUCUGGACUUGCUUAGAAGAUGAGAGAUCUGUGGGGGGAAAAGGAGACAUGGGGAAUUUCUAAAAUAAAUCUGUGUUUGAAUUUCCGAACUGUGGGAAAUUUUAAAUUUCAGAAGUUUAUGAACUGUGUGGGAUUUUAUUUUCAGAAGACUUGUGUUGUAAUAAAGAACUUAAUAUUUUGUUGAUGUUGAAAUUAAAUUUAGAAAAAAAAAAUUAUAUGUAUUUUAUGGAACAUAAAUUGUAACGCCAAAUUCGGGGUGUUACAGGACAAAUUUGUGGAGCAAUCCAUUCAAUUGUUUCGUGCUGAUCCUGACUCUUGGUGCUCCUGGACUCUUUGGGCUGUUUGAAUUGAAGCUGAUUAACAUUUGGGCCACUGCUGCCACGCUUGAAG